AUUGAACGCUGGCGGCAGGCCUAACACAUGCAAGUCGAACGAGUGGCGGACGGGUGAGUAAUGUAUGGGAAACUGCCUGAUGGAGGGGGAUAACUACAGGAAACGGUAGCUAAUACCGCAUACCAUCGGAUGUGCCCAGAUGGUAUUCGCUAGGAGGUGGGGUAAAGGCUCACCUAGGCGACGAUCCCUAGCUGGUCUGAGAGGAUGACCAGCCACACUGGAACUGAGACACGGUCCAGACUCCGACGUGAGGCAGCAGUGGGGAAGAUUGGACAAUGGGCGCAAGCCUGAUGCAGCCAUGCCGCGUGUAUGAAGAAGGCCUUCGGGUUGUAAAGUACUUUCAGCGGGGAGGCGUUACCCUCAGAAGAAGCACCGGCUAACUCCGUGCCAGCAGCCGCGGUAAUUC
rnacentral:rRNA from 1 species